AUAGUCUACGAUAACGGAAGUGCGAACUGUGGGUCGCGCUCUAGCCCUUUUCUCUGGCCAAUCCUGGAGGGGCGCUUCUGCGCGUGCGCGGGUAGUGACGGUUGCCCGAAGCGAUGCUGGCUUUGGCUCUUCCCGCUUGCCGUCGGACUUCGCUUUUGAGGACUCUUGCUGGAGUUGCUGUGAGGGGCCGGGGCGGUGGGGCCAUGCCCCGAAAGGGAAAAGCACAGAGUAAGGACAUAGUGAAGCCUCCUGUUCCUUCAGGCCCUGUGGCAACAGAUAAAAGUGGUUCCGUCACCAUCUCUGUUCAUGCCAAACCUGGAUCUAAACUAAAUGCUGUCACAGACCUGACAACAGAAGCAGUGAGUGUGGCCAUUGCUGCACCUCCGUCUGAAGGAGAGGCCAACGCAGAGUUAUGUCGUUACCUCUCAAAGGUCCUUGGAGUUAAGAAGAGUGAGGUUGUAUUAGAGAAGGGUGGCAAAUCUCGAGAAAAAAUAGUGAAGGUUUUGGCGCCAGUGACUCCCGAUGAAGUUCUAGAGAAGCUGAGAAAAGAAGCUGCCAGCUGAGACCGGUCCAAAGCAGCAGAAUGAGCAAUGCUCCUUUCUCUGGAAACCCACGGCACGAAGACCGAGCUCACAGCUGACAGUCAAGGCAUCAGCAGCUGUAUCCAGCCGGGGACUCGUUCGGUCAGUUUGACUCCGCUAAUUUCUGCUUCAUCAGGAUGCUCCACUUUUGCCCAGGCACCUCGCUUCUCAAAGCAGGGGGCCUCUCCUGCGAAGCUAUUUCAAGCCCAAGGACAUCUGGAAGUCUAGUCUUCACUCUGAACUCUAACAUGGGGAACAAAGCGGGCCUCCCCCAGAAAUGCAAUUUGUCUUUUCGAUGCCCCCAAUAGAAUUGAUUUUCUAGUGCCACCACUGGCUGCUGAGGAGUGACGUGGCUAACCAGCAGUGCAUCGUGGUAUUUAUGAUCAUGGCCAGCAGGGUUUUUUUCUGCAUCCUGCUGAGGAGAUAGAUAGAAAUGGCAUGGAAAAGCCCUCAGCUUCCCACACAAAUGAGCUUAUCAGAUAAACUGUAAAACAGAAGGGUUUCUGCCCCCCAUGAAACAACGCUGCGUCAGCAAAUACCAGACCACAAAACAACUGAGGAAAUUACAGGUUAAGUAUUCUGUGUUGCAUGCUAUCUAUACUAUUUUUACAUGCAAAUGCUUGGGGUUGUGAAAGAAAACUACUAGGAGCCAAAGGAAGGUUGUCAAGACAACUAUCAAUUAUGUUUAUGAAAAGGCAGUAAUUAAAAUAGCCACUGUAUUUCAAUAGUCAAGAUGGAGAAAAGCAGGAUUCAGAGUGUCCUGAACCCACCCCCACUUCAAAUAAUAAUAAAAAAGGUAGAACUAAUUCAGAUGUCGAUUCACUUUGGGACGGCAUAGAAUGCUUUCAGAAAACCAAGCACACCAAACAAUUUUGGAAUAGUACAUCCUAUUAUGAAUGGAACAAGCAAAGUCGGACCAGUUAAUUAGGACUGUCAUUUCUGACCUGCACAAGGGUCUUAGGCCCAGGUACAGAAUGCUGAACCAGUUUCCCCUAGAGUGUGGCCUUCAGGAGGCAUCAGAGAAUCCACACAGGUGAGAAACAGUAUACAUGCUUGGAAUGUGGUUAAAAACUUGUUUCAGGUCUGUUCUUAUUGCUCAUGAGAGAAUCCACACAGAAGACAAGCCGCACAAGUGCUCAGACUGGGAAAAGCUUCAGCCAGAGGGUGCAACUUAAUAGUCACCAGAGAAUCCACACCAGAGAGAAACCAUUUCAGUGUUCACAGUGUGGGAAAAGCUUCAGCCUGAGAUCAGUUUUGGUGACCUAUGAAAACACCCACACUUUAGACAAGCCGCACAGGUGUGUAGAGUGUGGGGAAAGCUUCAGUAACAAAUCUCAGCUUACAAACCAUCAGAGGCUGCAUACAGGAGAUAAACCUUAUAAGUGUUUUGUCUGUGAGAAAAGAUUUAACUUGAGUUCUCUCCUUACUGGUCACGGUAAGGAACCAAAGUGUAUGUAACCCACACGGGAGAAAAACCGUAUAAAUGCUCACACUACGAGAAGAGCUUCAGCAGUAGGUCCACCCUUGUAGCGCAUGAGAGAACCCAUACGGGAGAGAAGCCGCACAAGUGUUCAGACUGUGGGGAAAGUUUCAGCCAAAAAAACAAACCUCAACAGUCACCAGAGAAUCCACACCGGAGAGAAGCUGCAUACAUGCUCAGACUGUGGGAGAGGAUUCAGUCAGAAAUCACACCUCCUGAAUCAUCAGAGACACCACAUGGGAGAGAAACCCUUUCGGUGCUCUUGCUGCAAUAAAAGCUUUAGCACCAAGUUGACCCUGGUGGUGCAUGAGAAAACCCAUACAGGAGAAAAGCUUCAUGUAUGCAAAGGUUGCGGGGAAACCUUUAGUUGGGAAGCACAUCUUGUUAGGCAUGAGAGAACCCAUGUGCCAGAUGAAGCAUUCUUAGGACUAGGUCAGUAGAACAGUUUCUGUGUGACCAGAGACUGUUCUAGAGAAGAGAAGCAUACUGUAAAUAAACUCUAUAAAUCUUUACUAUCGGACAAACCCUAAUGAACAGCCCGGUCCUGUACACGUUUGUUGGGAGUAAAUCCCAUUGUACUUGAUGGGAGUUCAUGAUGAACCACUCAGUAAAAAUAUUAACUCAAAGUUGCCCCUAACUGUACUUAACUGGAGAUGCUGUUAACUGCAAAGCAUACAGGAGUAAAUCCAGAGAGCAAACAGUAAAAAGCUAAAAUAAACCCAGAGUAGUAUAUCCUUUCACUUUGAUAAGCCACCUAAUGGCGCAGCAGGGAAGCAACCUGCCUAGAGAACAGGAGGCUGUUGGUUCAAAUCCCCGCUGGUGUGUUGCCUGGAAUAUGGGAAACUCCUAUAUCGGGCAGCAGCGAUAUAGGAAGAUACUAAAAGGCAUCAUCUCAUACUGCGUGAGAGGUGGCAAUGGUAAACGCCUCCUGUAUUCUACCAAGAAACCCACAGGGCUCUGUGGGCGCCAGGAGUCGACACUGACUAGACAGCACAGCCAACCAGCCCAUUAUCCUUUCGUCUCCAGAGGCUUCUAUUGCCACCUCUCUGUACUAUCCUACACAGAAACAUCGGAAGUUGCCUUAUACCGAGUCAGACCCUUGGUCCAUCUAGCUCAGUAAUGUCUACACUGACUGGCAGCAGUUCUCCAAGAUUUCAGGCAGGAGUCUUUUCAGAGAUGUGGGGUGGACAUUUUCACCAUACUUAGUUUUUUUCCUAGAGAGUCUUGAAAAUUUGCACAGUAAUUUUUUUUAAAGGAAAAAACCAAUGCAUUUUAUGCAAACAGGAGAUAAAUCAGCAUAGAAAAAAUGGCAAAUUAAUUUUUUGCCCAGAAAGCCCAGAUUUCUGUGUGUCUCCCAGUGCUACCUGGAGAUGCUGCCAGGGUUGAACCCUGGGCCCUUCGGCAUGCCAAGCAGAUGGUCCACCAUUGAGCGAUGGCACCAUCCCCAUCACCCUGCUGCGCAUGACAACCUGAAGUUCUCUUCAUGAUUCACGUACAGUUAAGCAGCACCUCUCUCGGCUUAUUGUGGGCACAGCCUGCAGACGGGGAACCUGGAGAAGAGCAGGCCACGGGAUCACAAGAUGCGAAAAGGUCUCAUGUCCCAACACUCCAGCAGCAUGCCCUGCGAGGGCCAGCAGGGAGAAGAGUGCAAAGCCUUCAGUAAAAGCCUAUGGAGAUCUCUUCUGUGCACACUUGUGGGGAGGAAACACCACUACUUUAAUA